AACGGGUGAGUAACACGUGGACAACCUGCCUCAAGGCUGGGGAUAACAUUUGGAAACAGAUGCUAAUACCGAAUAAAACUUAGUGUCGCAUGACACAAAGUUAAAAGGCGCUUCGGCGUCACCUAGAGAUGGAUCCGCGGUGCAUUAGUUAGUUGGUGGGGUAAAGGCCUACCAAGACAAUGAUGCAUAGCCGAGUUGAGAGACUGAUCGGCCACAUUGGGACUGAGACACGGCCCAAACUCCUACGGGAGGCUGCAGUAGGGAAUCUUCCACAAUGGGCGAAAGCCUGAUGGAGCAACGCCGCGUGUGUGAUGAAGGCUUUCGGGUCGUAAAGCACUGUUGUAUGGGAAGAACAGCUAGAAUAGGAAAUGAUUUUAGUUUGACGGUACCAUACCAGAAAGGGACGGCUAAAUACGUGCCAGCAGCCGCGGUAAUACGUAUGUCCCGAGCGUUAUCCGGAUUUAUUGGGCGUAAAGCGAGCGCAGACGGUUUAUUAAGUCUGAUGUGAAAGCCCGGAGCUCAACUCCGGAAUGGCAUUGGAAACUGGUUAACUUGAGUGCAGUAGAGGUAAGUGGAACUCCAUGUGUAGCGGUGGAAUGCGUAGAUAUAUGGAAGAACACCAGUGGCGAAGGCGGCUUACUGGACUGCAACUGACGUUGAGGCUCGAAAGUGUGGGUAGCAAACAGGAUUAGAACCCUGGUAGUCCACCACCGUAAACCAAUGAACACUAGGUGUUAGGAGGUUUCCGCCCUCUUAGUGCCGAAGCUAACGCAUUAAGUGUUCCGCCUGGGGAGUACGACCGCAAGGUUGAAACUCAAAGGAAUUGACGGGGACCCGCACAAGCGGUGGAGCAUGUGGUUUAAUUCGAAGCAACGCGAAGAACCUUACCAGGUCUUGACAUCCUUUGAAGCUUUUAGAAGAUAGAAGUGUUCUCUUCGGAGACAAAGUGACAGGUGGUGCAUGGUCGUCGUCAGCUCGUGUCGUGAGAUGUUGGGUUAAGUCCCGCAACGAGCGCAACCCUUAUUGUUAGUUGCCAGCAUUCAGAUGGGCACUCUAGCGAGACUGCCGGUGACAAACCGGAGGAAGGCGGGGACGACGUCAGAUCAUCAUGCCCCUUAUGACCUGGGCUACACACGGCUACAAUGGCGUAUACAACGAGUUGCCAACCCGCGAGGGUGAGCUAAUCUCUUAAAGUACGUCUCAGUUCGGAUUGUAGUCUGCAACUCGACUACAUGAAGUCGGAAUCGCUAGUAA
rnacentral:rRNA from 1 species